rnacentral:rRNA from 1 species
GACGAACGCUGGCGGCGUGCUUAACACAUGCAAGUCGACAUGCGUGGCGAACGGGUGAGUAAUACGUGGGUAACCUGCCCUCCUUUUUGGUAUAAGCCUUGGUAACGGGGUCUCAUACCGAAUAAAGGGGGAUGGGCGCGCGGCCUAUCAGCUUGUUGGUGGGGUGAGGGCCUACAAAGGCGGUGAUGGGUAGCCGGCCGGAAAGGGUGAUCGGCCACAUUGGUACUGAGACACGGCCCAGAAUCCUACGGGAGGCAGCAGUGGGGGAUAGUGCACAAUGGGCGAAAGCCUGAUGCAGCUAUGCCGCGUGUGUGAAGAAGGCCUUCGGGUUGUAAAGCACUGUCAGCGAGGAGGCGUUACUCGCAGAGGAAGCACCGGCUAACUCCGUGCCAGCAGCCGCGGUAAUAC